rnacentral:rRNA from 1 species
UACAGAGGGGGCAAGCGUUGUUCGGAAUUACUGGGCGUAAAGGGCGCGUAGGCGGCCUUCUAAGUCGAACGUGAAAUCCCCGGGCUCAACCCGGGAACUGCGUCCGAGACUGGAAGGCUCGAAUCCGGGAGAGGGAUGUGGAAUUCCAGGUGUAGCGGUGAAAUGCGUAGAUAUCUGGAGGAACAUCGGUGGCGAAGGCGGCAUCCUGGACCGGUAUUGACGCUGAGGCGCGAAAGCCAGGGGAGCAAAGCGGG